GACGAACGCUGGCGGCGUGCUUAACACAUGCAAGUCGAACGAUGAAGCCUUUCGGGGUGGAUUAGUGGCGAACGGGUGAGUAACACGUGGGCAAUCUGCCCUGUACUUUGGGAUAAGCCUUGGAAACGAGGUCUAAUACCGGAUAUGACUGGCCUUCGCAUGGGGUUGGGUUGGAAAGUUCUGGCGGUACAGGAUGAGCCCGCGGCCUAUCAGCUUGUUGGUGGGGUAAGUGGCCUACCAAGGCGACGACGGGUAGCCGGCCUGAGAGGGCGACCGGCCACACUGGGACUGAGACACGGCCCAGACUCCUACGGGAGGCAGCAGUGGGGAAUAUUGCACAAUGGGCGAAAGCCUGAUGCAGCGACGCCG
rnacentral:rRNA from 1 species